rnacentral:lncRNA from 10 species
UACUAUACAGUAAUAUUUUUCCUUUGACUUCCGGGAAGCUUGGAACUCACUUUUAUACACAAUAGCAGUAGCUUUUGUGUUAGUGCCGGUCUUCCAAAAAGUAGAUGCCAAGAUUGGGUUAGACCUCAAGAGAUUUACUGAGAAAAGGCCUGAAAGGGAAAAUGGAAAGGAAGCUGGUGAAGCCUGGGAGAGCAUCAGGCUAUGAUGGAGAAGAGAGGGGAGGAAGGAAGGAAGGCAAGUUAGACGGGAAGAAUCUUACAGUGCAGUGCAAUUCUAAGAAAGUUUUGGCAUCACUUUUGAGGGGGAGUCUUUGAGCCAAAACUGCCUCUGAGAAGAGUCCUACAUCUCCUGGGUACAGUGUUCCCACAAUGCUCAGACAUUGACUGGGAGCAGCCUGUGCUCUGACAGAUUUCAGAGCACACACAGGACCAUUGGUGAAAUAUGCUCCCUGCAGGUGAGAUCUGAGAGGCACAUUCUCAUGGUUGCUUCAGUUCACCUGCUGGUAUUGCAUGAACAUGCCUUUCCACACAGGUCCAGGGAGAAGUUCCUCUGUGGUUCCUCAAGGCCUCUUUUUCUAACUAGUUGGACAGCUACAGCCCCCAUUGCUGCAGCUGAUCUCAUGGUUGUAACUGGUACUUAUCUUCUCCCUCCUCCACUAUCUACUCAAUCCCCCUCACCCUCAUGGAUCACUUUUGCUGGUUGUAGCUUACGCGGUGGAGUGACCCUUGGUAAUUAUACCCUUCUUAGACUGGGGUUACUACACAUGUCCAUUCACAAUUGCAAUGCGGGGGAAAGGUGCAGUGGCUCACGCUUGUCAUCUCAGCACUUUGGGAGCCCAAGUGGGGGCAGAUACCUUGAGCCCAGGAGUUGGAGACCAGCCUGGGCAGCAUAGCGAGAACCCCAUCUCUACAAAAAAUACAAAAAUUAGCCGGACGUGGUGGUGUGCCCCUGUAGUCCCAGCUACUUGGGAGGCUGAGGCAGGAGAAUCGCUUGAACCCAAGAUGGAGUGGGUGGCGGGGUCAGGCGAGUCGGGGGCGGAGGCUGCAGUGAUCUGAGAUUGCCAUCAAUUACUCAUGCUGUUAUGGGGACUCCUUCUCUCAUCAGCUAGACACUGGUGAGUAGCUAUAGUUUGUAAUUCAAUAGGACCCUUGUUGUGUCCCCUGGCAAGAGUGCAGCGCCUUCGGGGACUAGGGUCUCUAACCUUGCAAAGCCUAGAGUCGCGGGGACAGGAAGCACAGAGUGGGUCAUUGGGACUGAUGGUAAUGGGGCUACUCCUCUUCCCUGGCUUAGGUGAGCUAUGGCCUUGUGGCAAUCUCCCUCUACCCCACUUGGAUUAGUUUUGCCUCCUCAGGUUGCCUCUAAGCUCCAGGUUCCUGGCUUUCCACUCUGGAAAGCUUCAUUGUUUCCUCCGGUGUGCUUUGUUUGCUGUUUGUUUUGACUGGGCAAUUAUUCAGAAGAUUCAAAAUUCAAGAGGCACAAAACAGCAUUUUAAUGAAAAGUCUCCUUCCUACUUCUAUUUUCCAGCUAUCCAAGUUCCCCUCUACAACAAAUGUUUUCAAUUUUUUAGAUACCAUAACACACCUUUUUUACCCAGAUGGUAACAUACUAUACACAUUGUUCUGUACCUUGUGUGCAUGUUUUUAAAAAUUUGCAUACAGAUGAGAUUAGAUCUUAGAAAGCAUUUCAAAUCAGUACGUAAAGAGAUUUCUUUUUUCUUUUUUGAGACAGAGUCUUGCUCUGUUGUCCAGGCUGGAGUGCAGUGGUGCCAUCUUGGCUCACUGCAACCUCCACCUCCUGAGUUCAAGUAAUUCUCGUGUCUCAGCCUCCCGAGUAGUUGGAAUUACAGGCGUGCGCCACCAUGCCAGGCUAAUUUUUUGUAUUUUUAGUAGAGACGGUGUUUCACCAUAUUGGCCAGGCUGGUCUCGAACUCUUGACCUCAGGUGAUCUGCCUGCCUUGGCUUCCCAAAAUGCUGGGAUUAUAGGCAUGAGCCACCGUACCUGGCCCCUAAAGAGAUUUCUUAUUUAAUUUUUAUGGAUAAUUUUUGUGUGUGUCUGUGUGUGUGAGAGAGAGAGAGAAAGAAAGAGAGAAUGUACUAUAAUUUAUUUAACCAGUCCACCAAUUGAUAGGUGCUUGGUUUUUUCUUAUUCUCUGUGAUUACAAACAAUGUCGUAAUUAAUAACUGUGUACAUUCCAGGUAUGUGAGUAUAUCUGUAGAAUAAACUUCUAGCAGUGGAAUAGCUAGGCCAAAGGGUAUUUAGAUUUGUCAUUUAACAGUUAAUUGCCAAAAUCACCUUUCAUAGGGAUGGUACAAGUUUGUCUUCUGCCCUUAAUGUGCCUGUUUCUCCAGAGUUUUGCUGAUUCAAGAUGUUAACAAACCUUUUUAAUCUUUGCCAGUAUGAAAGGAUAAAAAUAAUAUCUCAAAGUUGUUUUAAUUCAUUAAGAUUAGCCAUAUAAAGCUGCCGUUUUUAAGGUAAAACUAAUCGUUGAAUAGUAGCAAUUUCAUAUUCUUUUAUUUCUUUGUGAGAUUGUAGAUCUCAGUUUUUUUUUCGGAUUUCUUCUGUUUUUAAUUUAAUUUUUUUAUUUUUAAAAUUUCAUUAGCUUUCGGGGUCCAAGGGAUUUUUGCUUGCAUGGAGAUGGACUGGGGGCCAAGACUUACAGGAACCAGAUAAGACGCCUGAAAGAGUAUGGUUAGAUGGGGCAAAGCUAGGAAACUCUUGGGCUCAGCUAGGCCUGAUAGGAUCAGUAUGUGUUGCUCGGUCUCCUCUAGGCGCUUGUGUUUGUUCCAAAUCUAGCAGAACAAGCUGCUUCAGCCCAGCCCAGAGCACUAGCAGGGAUGAAAUGAUGGGAAACUUGGGCUCUGCACAUCCAGAAGUCUUGUAGCUCUGCUGAGCUCAGACUUGGAGUUACUCCAAGGGGCUGCCCCAUCACAUUUUGUUUGUUGUGAGCCUCAGAGCCCCAAGAGCCUGUCCUAUCUUCUUUCUCUCUCUGUGGCGCUCAAUAAGUACUUGUCCUGUCCUGUCCUGUCCUGGGCACUGAGGGUGGAGAGAAGAAACAAAGCAGAAUGAGGGGGUGUUCUACCUUCAGGACUCACCAUUAUCGGAGGCUAUCUCCUUGGGGGUCCCCAGAGCAGCCCCCUGCCCUCUCAAAAGUUUUCAUGACUCUUAUUGUGAGUACCUAAGCUUUUCUUUGUCUUUUUUUUUUAAAUUGAAGACGAUUUUACAUGUAAUUUUCCUACAUCCGCACAUCUAGACCUGCUUUGAUAACUUUAAAGGCUACAUAAGCUUUCACUGGAUGGAUACAUCAUAAUUUUUUAACAAUUCCUGUGUUGAUGGACAUUUAGGUUGUUCUUGCCUUUGACAGCACUGCCACAAACCUUUUUUUAUGAUUCUUUGUGCAAAUGUGCAAGUGUAACUGUUGAAUAAGCUCCUAAAAGUAGAACUGUUGGGUUAAAAGAUGUGUGCAUUUAAAAAAGUUGAUUAGUAUUGACUGACUGUUCAGAUAACAGCUCAAAUUGUCUCUCAUUGGAGAAACAGAGGCCCCCAGAGGCCAAGUCCCCUCCAGUCCUCCCUAUGUCACAUAUCCCAAUGUUCCACAGGACUCACUGCUUUUUCACAUUUGGUCUGACUUGCUGAUAUGGGUCUCAAAUUGUCUCCCAUUAACACAAUCUUCUUAAAAUUACAUUUUCUUCUAUAGUAUGGAUAGACCAUAAUUGGAUUCAUUUCCCUAUUGAUGGAACUUUAUUGAGGUUGCCUCGGGAUGGCGCUAUGCAGAUAAUUUUGCAAAGAGCAUUUGGGGCAGUCACGGUGGCUCAUGCCUAUAAUCCCAGCAUUUUGGGAGGCUGAGGCGGGAGGAUUACUUGAGGUCAGGAGUUUGAGACCAGCCUGGCCAACAUGGGUGAAACUCCACCUCUAACAAAAAAUACAAAAAUUGGUUGGGUGUGAUGGCAGGCGCCUGUAGUCCCAGCUACUGGGGAGGCAGAGGUGGGAGAAUCUCUUGAACCUCGGAGAUGGAGGUUGCAGUGAGCUGAGAUGGCACCACCGCACUCCAGCCUGGACGACAGAGUGAGACCCUGUCUCAAGAAAAAAAAAAAGAAAAAAAGAAAAAAAAAGACAAAUUGCACUUCUGCCCAAACCCUUGCCUGAGCUAACAAUAGUAGCUAACAUGUAUUGAACACUUUCUAUGUGUCUGCCCUGCCCUUUGCAAUGUAUUAGCUCAAAACUCCGAUUAAUUAGAUAUUUUUAUUAGCUUAAUUUUACAGAUGUGAAAGCUGAGGCAGACAGAUAAAUGGCAUGUUCAGGGUUUUAGAGCUGAUAAGAGACGGGGUUGGAGUUAAAAUCCACGUUCUAGUUCCAGUCAGUGGGCCUGCCUGACCACUGUGCAAUUCCUGGCUGCAAGUCCCAGCCUGGGGCUUUGGGUGCAAAGGGUGGCCAUAUUUAAAAGUGAGAUGCUGUCCAAUUACUCUCCCAAAGGGCUAUGCCAUUCUCUGGUACCACCAGAGUAAGAGUGAGGCCCUUUUUCUCUUCAAGGAGUAUGUCUUUUUCUUUUUUUUUUUUCUUUUUUUUUUUUGAGACGGAGUCUUGAUGUGUUGCCCACGCUGGAGUGCAGUGGCACGAUCUCGGCUCACUGCAAGCUCCGCCUCCCUGGUUCACGCCAUUCUCUUGCCUCAGCCUCCCGAGUAGCUGGGACUACAGGUGCCUGCCACCACGCCUGGCUAAUUUUUUGUAUUUUUAGUAGAGACGGGGUUUCACCGAGUUAGCCAGGAUGGUCUCAAUCUCCUGACCUCGUGAUCCGCCCGCCUCGGCCUCCCAAAGUGCUAGGAUUAUAGGCGUGAGCCACUGCGCCCAGCCAGGAGUGUCUUUUUCUUUUCUUUUUUUUGAGACGGAGUCUCACUCUGUUGCCCAGGCUGAAGUGCAGUGGCGCAAUCUUGGCUCACUGCGAUCUCUGCCUCCUGGGUUCAAGCGAUUCUCCUGCUUCAGCCUCCCGAGUAGCUGGGAUAACAGGCGUGCGCCACCACGCCUGGCUAAUUUUUGUAUUUUUAGUAGAGACGGGGUUUCUCCAUGUUAGUCAGGCUGGUCUCCAACUCCUGACCUUGUGAUCCGUCCGCCUUGGCCUCCUAAAGCGUUGUGAUUACAGGCGUGAGCCACCGCACCUGGCAGGAGUGUGUCUUUUUCAUUUCCAUAUCCCUGGGUGUAGGGGAUAUGGAAAUGAAAUAUACCCCACAUAAGGUCCAGCAUGGAGCAGGUAGGUGCCUGUGGGACGGCUGGAUGGAUGAAUGGAUGGAUGAAGGGGAGCAGACAGGUGUGGAGAGAGGGAGGACAGGUCACACCAGAGGGGCCAUUGCUCAGUGUGGCAUCUUGCCUCUAAAACUCAUUCAUUUAACACGUUGAAGUGUUCCUUAUUUUUCGGUUCCUAGCUGACUCGCCCCUUCCUGGAGGGAUCUGCUGAAGCGUCCCUCUCCGAUCAGAGCCUUCCCUGACCUUCCUGUCUCCACCGCACCAUGCAUUUACACUUCUGUUUUGCUUAUCGUUUUCCCCAUCCCCGCAGGGGAGAAUAGGAACCUCACUAGGGCAGAGGCUUUGUUUGUUCACUGAUUCAUCACCGGGACUUAGGACAUUUCCUGCUGUUGUCGCUCAGUCAGUAUUUGGUGAAUAUGGCCCCUGUUAUUCACUGUUCCAGGAGCUGGGAGUGCAGCGGCGGGCGGGACAGAGACCCCGCCUUCAGGGCUCGACAUUAAUCCUGCCUGAAGGUGGGAGCCCGAAGAGCCUCUCCCAGCCCUGGGCUCCAGAUCACUUUGUCCCUUCCUAAAGAAAUCUAAGGCUGGCAGCGACGGCUCUCCCUUGGGCGCAACAGCCGCGCCCCCGGCGGCAGGAAGGCUGGGGCUCUGGCGCUUUCUGCCACGGCGUCAUCUGGAAGACCCGCUUUUUCAAGGGCGAAGACCCCACAUUCUUGGAGGGCCUAGCUUUCCUCCGGGCCCAGCUCUACACUCACCUUACGCCUCUUCUCCCCGCGGGAGGUGAGGGGUUGCGGGGUCACAGGAGGAGGCGAGGGCCGGGCCAAUGUUCGUCCUGCCGCCCUACGUCCCCUAGGUCCUGCACCAGGGUUUUGGGGCCAAAGCAAGCAGUGCCUCUGUGUUUGGGGUGGAGCUUCUUCACGGUCUGUGAACACUACGCGCAAGCCCUCGGGCGCGGUAUGGGCGAGUGCCCUGCCCUGGCGGGGGUCCCAGGGAUCCGCAGGGAGGGGAAGGCCUCCGAACAGAAGUCAGGGCGCCACCUGGCGGCCGCAGCCCACAGCCCACAGCCCACAGCCCACAGCCCGCAGCCCGCAGCCCUCAGAGCCCAGACGCGCCUUAGGGGCCGCUUGGCCAGCGGGAUCUGCAGACCCUAACCCUCCUGCAGGAUCCCGGGCCCAUUUCCCGUAGUGGUUGCGGGCCUGGGUCACUGACAUACGUAAGGUAUGACAAUCCUACGCUAAGGUAGGAUUGGACUUUGAAGAGCUGAGCAAUGGCUGGGCAUGGUGGUUC